UAUGUGGCGUAUACGUUAACGAUCCCAUGAUAGUAAGCCGUAGCGCCACUGUCCGGUCUAAAUGUCCCUCAUAGCACACUGGUAAUGAAUCUGGAUUAUCUAUUUUAGGUAGCGUAACAUAAUUAAACCUGUUGCUUAAAGAAACGGCAGUAGCACCUGAAUUAAAUGGAGCAUUCCGGCUGAUAAUGAAGUGUGCACCUUUCCGCGAUGAGAUUUCAGUUGAAUCGGACGAAUCGGAAGAGGAAUCUAAACGAGAGGAGUCUGCUUGUAGCGGGAUAUCCGUGUGGGGAAGAAUCGCCAUGGAAUUGUUGCCACAGAGAAUCAUUGAAUUUGUUAUAUUUAUGAAAUUGUUAUGUAUUGAAAUUUUAUUGUACACUUUAUAUUGAAUUUUAUUGUAAAUUUUGUUGUACACGUAUCAUCUGCGGGCACUGGAUCAUCUAUUAACCUAAAAAAUCAAAUAAUACAAAAUACUAAUUAACCAGGGACGAAAUGGCUCGGAUGGGACAAAAAACCGAAGUCUCGUGUAUGUGGCGUGCACGUUGAAGAUUCCUUGAGAGUAGGCCGCAGCGCCGCUGUCCGCUCUAAGUGUCCCUCAUAGCACACUGUAUGGCGUAUGCCCGUUUUCGUUAGCACAGUGGGAGCAGAACAGUAGUUUGCUGUAGUUUACAAGUGAUUCCAAUCGCUUAAAGUGGCAGAUCGAGACAUUAACCUAAUUCCGUUCUAAACAGGGAGCCAAAGGGUGCUAGCUUACUAAGUGAGUAAGACGUUGGCUUGUAAGCAUGGAGGUCGCGGUUCAUCUGGAUUUUCCGAUGUGGUUUACCUUUGUCAGUGGUGCAGGACGAAGGGCCUGCCAAGGACAGCUAUCUAGUCGUUCGGAUGGGACGAAAAACCGAGGUCUCGUGUAUACAU